rnacentral:rRNA from 1 species
AUUGAACGCUGGCGGCAGGCUUAACACAUGCAAGUCGAGCGGGGGAAGGUAGCUUGCUACCGGACCUAGCGGCGGACGGGUGAGUAAUGCUUAGGAAUCUGCCUAUUAGUGGGGGACAACAUCUCGAAAGGGAUGCUAAUACCGCAUACGUCCUACGGGAGAAAGCAGGGGAUCUUCGGACCUUGCGCUAAUAGAUGAGCCUCAGUCGGAUUAGCUAGUUGGUGGGGUAAAGGCCUACCAAGGGGACGAUCUGUAGAGGGUCUGAGAGGAUGAUCCGCCACACUGGGACUGAGACACGGCCCAGACUCCUACGGGAGGCAGCAGUGGGGAAUAUUGGACAAUGGGGGGAACCCUGAUCCAGCCAUGCCGCGUGUGUGAAGAAGGCCUUAUGGUUGUAAAGCACUUUAAGCGAGGAGGAGGCUACUCUAGUUAAUACCUAGGGAUAGUGGACGUUACUCGCAGAAUAAGCACCGGCUAACUCUGUGCCAGCCGCCGCCGUAA